rnacentral:rRNA from 1 species
CUGCUUCUCAAAAACAUUUCUUUUCACGUGAAAACGUAAGCUCUGCUCAAUGAAAUUUUGAAUAGCCGCAGUAUCCUGACUGUGCUAAGGUAGCAUAAUAAUUUGUCUUAUAAUAGAAGACUGGAAUGAAGGAGUAAACGACAUUUUUUCUUUCUUAAAAGAAAUUUUUGAACUUAAUUUCUACGUAAAAAAGCGUAGCUAAAAAAAAGGGACGAUAAGACCCUAUAAAGCUUUACUUGAAAUUUAAGUUUUGAAUAAAGAAUAACCCGAUUUAAAUUUUAGUUAAGCUGGGGCGGCAGGUAUUGUAACAAUAAUCAAAUUUAACAAAAAUUUUUGAGUUGAAAGAUCUUAGCAAAAAAGUUAGAAUAAGCUACUUUAGGGAUAACAGCACAAUUUUUUCAGAGAGACCUUAUUAAAGAAAAAGACUUGUGACCUCGAUGUUGAAUUGGAGGGCUCUGUUUAAGUAGAAAUGAACAAGAGGAGUCUGUUCGACUUUUAAUUCUCCACGUGAUCUGA